GAUGAACGCUAGCGGCAGGCCUAAUACAUGCAAGUCGAGGGAGAAUGUUGGAUUCGUCUGACAUGAAACCGGCGCACGGGUGCGUAACACGUAUGCAACCUACCUUUAACUGGGGUAUAGCUCAGAGAAAUCUGAAUUAAUCCCCCAUAAGACUACGACGUGGCAUCAUGAUGUAGUUAAAGCUCCGGCGGUUAAGGAUGGGCAUGCGGUACAUUAGCUAGUUGGUGAGGUAAUGGCUCACCAAGGCUACGAUGUAUAGGGGGUCUGAGAGGAUGAUCCCCCACACUGGAACUGAGACACGGACCAGACUCCUACGGGAGGCAGCAGUAGGGAAUAUUGGUCAAUGGACGCAAGUCUGAACCAGCCAUGCCGCGUGAAGGAUGAAGGCCCUAUGGGUCGUAAACUUCUUUUAUUAGGGAAGAAAAAACGGGAUGCGUCCUGUACUGACGGUACUUAAUGAAUAAGGAUCGGCUAACUUCGUGCCAGCAGCCGCAGUAA
rnacentral:rRNA from 1 species